AGUGAACGCUGGCGGUAGGCCUAACACAUGCAAGUCGAACGGCAGCACAGGAGAGCUUGCUCUCUGGGUGGCGAGUGACGGACGGGUGAGGAAUACAUCGGAAUCUACUCUGUCGUGGGGGAUAACGUAGGGAAACUUACGCUAAUACCGCAUACGACCUACGGGUGAAAGCAGGGGACCUUCGGGCCUUGCGCGAUUGAAUGAGCCGAUGUCGGAUUAGCUAGUUGGCGGGGUAAAGGCCCACCAAGGCGACGAUCCGUAGCUGGUCUGAGAGGAUGAUCAGCCACACUGGAACUGAGACACGGUCCAGACUCCUACGGGAGGCAGCAGUGGGGAAUAUUGGACAAUGGGCGCAAGCCUGAUCCAGCCAUACCGCGUAGGUGAAGAAGGCCUUCGGGUUGUAAAGCCCUUUUGUUGGGAAAGAAAUCCAGCUGGCUAAUACCCGGUUGGGAUGACGGUACCCAAAGAAUAAGCACCGGCUAACUUCGUGCCAGCCGCCGCAGUAA
rnacentral:rRNA from 1 species